rnacentral:rRNA from 1 species
UACAGAGGUCUCAAGCGUUGUUCGGAUUCAUUGGGCGUAAAGGGUGCGUAGGUGGCGAGGCAAGUCAGAUGUGAAAUCCCGGGGCUCAACCCCGGAACUGCAUUUGAAACUGCCUUGCUCGAGUACUGGAGAGGAGACUGGAAUUUACGGUGUAGCGGUGAAAUGCGUAGAUAUCGUAAGGAAGACCAGUGGCGAAGGCGGGUCUCUGGACAGUUCCUGACGCUGAGGCACGAAGGUCAGGGGAGCAAACGGG